UACGUAGGUGGCAAGCGUUACUCGGAAUCACUAGGCGUAAAGCGCAGGUAGGCGGUUUGAUAAGUCUCUUGUGAAAGCUCCCGGCUCAACUGGGAGAGGUCAAGGGAAACUGUCAGGCUAGAGUGUGGCAGAGGAAGCUAGAAUUCCCGGUGUAGCGGUGAAAUGCGUAGAUAUCGGGAAGAACACCCGUGGCUAAGGCGGCUCUCUAGUACGGUACUGACGCUGAGACGCGAAAGCGUGGGGAGCGAACAGG
rnacentral:rRNA from 1 species